rnacentral:lncRNA from 1 species
AACUGUGCGGCACUGUGCCACGGGACCCUGGUCUUUGAAACCUUGGCGUGCGCGAGAAUUUCCCAGUAUGACAGAGCCAAAACUCCAAGUCAUGUCAGUAGGGCAUGCCCAAUAGAAAAUGCUUUGACAUCUAACAACACCCAGAACCAAUGAUUCCUCCCUGUGGUACCAAGAAGACCUAGACAUGAUCGGAACCUAAAUGCUGGAACUCUUUCAGGAGCAAAGGGUCUGUUGACCAGAAAGAUCCAGGGGUAAAAUCCACCUCAACAUACCCGUGUAGUCAAAUUUGACACCCUCCAAUCAGACCCUGCCAAGCCAAAAUUCCUAAUACGUUUCCUUGCCAUCUGUAUUAGUCUGUUUUCACGCUGCUGACAAAGACAUACCUGAGACUGGACAAUUUACAAAAGAGGUUUAAUUGGACUUACAGUUCCACGUGGCUGGGGAAACCUCACAAUCAUGGCAGAAGGCAAGGAGGAGCAAGUCACAUCUUACAUGGAUGGCAGCAGGCAAAAACAAAGAGCUUGUACAGGGAAACUCCUGUUUCUCAAAACCAUCAGACCUCAUGAGACUUAUUCACUAUCACAAGAACAGCACAAGAAAGACCUGCCCCUAUGAUUCAAUUAUCUCCCACUGGGUCCCUCCCACAACAUGUGAGAAUUCAAGAUGAGAUUUGGGUGGGGACACAGCCAAACCAUAUCACCCUCUGACCCCUUAAAUCUUGCCCCAGACCCCAAAUUAGGAGACAGAUGUGAGCCAUGCCUCCAGUCUCCUUGCUGGGUGGCCCUGCAAUAAAGCCUUUCUGUUCUCAAAAGCUGGUACCAUAGUAUUGGCUUCUAUGUGCAUCAGGCAGUGAGCCUAUUUGCUCAGAAACAAUACUAAAGCACCAUACUUUGGGGUAUCAUUCUCUGAGCCCCAACCAGGGGUCAUUCCUGAGGCCAUGAAUGAGGGAGAGAGUUUCUGGCUGAGGAAACUUGCCCGUAAGUCUUGCACCAUCUGGCCCAUGCUGACCAUCACAGUCUCACUUUAUCUUCUUUCCAGCCACAUUGGCCUUUCAGUUCCUCAAACAUACCCGCGCUGGCUGGUUUCAGAACUUCUGCCUGGAUCACUGUCCUCUCCCCCCUCCCUCUUCCCCCUCCUGUCUCAAACCCUCCAAUGUAAACUUCAGUCUCACCUUAAAUGUCACUUCCUCUGGAGCCCUUUUCAUGGUCCCUGGUUUAAAUUUAGUCCAUA